GCCCUUAUAGUUCAACCCGGAUCAGAACGUAACCUUGCGGAGGUUAAGAUGAAGGUUCAAAUCCUUCUAGGGGCG
rnacentral:tRNA from 1 species